rnacentral:rRNA from 1 species
AUACCAGCACCCCGAGUGGUCGGGACGAUUAUUGGGCCUAAAGCAUCCGUAGCCGGUACUGCAAGUCUUCCGUUAAAUCCACCUGCUUAACAGUUGGGCUGCGGAGGAUACUACAGCGCUAGGAGGCGGGAGAGGCAAGCGGUACUCAGUGGGUAGGGGUAAAAUCCACUGAUCCAUUGAAGACCACCAGUGGCGAAGGCGGCUUGCCAGAACGCGCUCGACGGUGAGGGAUGAAAGCUGGGGGAGCAAACCGGAUUAGAUACCCGGGUAGUCCCAGCUGUAAACGAUGCAGACUCGGUGAUGGGCUGGCCUUGUGCCAACCCAGUGCCGCAGGGAAGCCGUUAAGUCUGCCGCCUGGGGAGUACGGUCGCAAGACUGAAACUCAAAUGAAUUGACGGGG